rnacentral:rRNA from 1 species
UACGUAGGGACCGAGCGUUGUCCGGAUUCAUUGGGCGUAAAGGGCGCGUAGGCGGCGUGUUAAGUCACUUGUGAAAUCUCUAGCUUAACUUAGAACGGUCAAGUGAUACUGACGUGCUAGAGUGCAGAAGGGGCAACCGGAAUUCUUGGUGUAGCGGUGAAAUGCGUAGAUAUCAAGAGGAACACCUGAGGUGAAGACGGGUUGCUGGGCUGACACUGACGUGGAGGCGACGAAAGCUAGGGUAGCAAACGGG